rnacentral:rRNA from 1 species
UACGUAGGGUCCGAGCGUUGUCCGGAAUCACUGGGCGUAAAGGGCGCGUAGGUGGUGACCUAAGCGUGCGGUGAAAGCCCGAGCUCAACCUCGGGUCGGCCGUGCGAACUGGGUCACUGGAGCAGAAUAGAGGCAGGUGGAAUUCCGGGUGUAGCGGUGGAAUGCGUAGAGAUCCGGAAGAACACCGGUGGCGAAGGCGGCCUGCUGGGUUCUGGCUGACACUGAGGCGCGACAGCGUGGGGAGCAAACAGG